rnacentral:tRNA from 1 species
GCUCGCUCAGUCGGUAGAGUACGAGACUCUCAAUCUCAGGGUUGUGAGUUCAAGCCCCACAUUGAGUG